rnacentral:precursor_RNA from 10 species
CAAGUUAUGAGCCUACUUCGGUUCAGUUUGCCACAAUGAAAGUAGAUGUCCGUUGGCCAUAAACGGGAUCACUAUCAUUGUGAAAAACUGCAGCGAACCAACAACGAUUAACUCC